AGGAAAGUGCGUUUGGGGAAAGGAACAAUUCAAGGCAGCAACGCUUCUCAUUGGCUGGGCUGCAGCAUUUCUCAUUGGCUGAGUUACAGCAUUUCUCAUUGGCUGGGCUGUGGCAUUUCUCAUUGGCUGAGCUACAGCAUUUCUCAUUGGCUGGGCUGUGGCAUUUCUCACUGGCUGAGCCAUGCUGUUUCUCAUUGGCUGAGCUUUGGCAUUUCUCAUUGGCUGAGCCAUGCUGUUUCUCAUUGGCUGGGCUGUGGUGUUUCUCAUUGGCUGGGCUGUGGCGUUUCUCAUUGGCUGGGCUGUGGCGUUUCUCAUUGGCUGGGCUGUGGCGUUUCUCAUUGGCUGGGGUGUUGCCAGGUGGGGAGAGGACUCUUCCUUCGGUGGUAAAGUAGUUGUACUUCCACUGGGAGAUGUAAACCACGGUCUCUUCCCAUUUGCAGUAAAAUUGAUGUUGUUUGACAGGCUUCAGAGCUCCCCCUACAGGCCGUCCUGACUCCGUUUUCAUUGAGGUUUCUUAUACAUUUCACAGUUGGUAAAUAACCUUCGCACAGAGUCAAAUCGGGUGGGCUUUGUCUGCUGGGAAGACCCUAAAUGUCAACUCUGCCUCAGGAGUGGCAAGAAGAGCAGAGGGAGAGAGACUUGGCAGAGAGGCUCUGGAGCUGAUGGACAGAGGCCGGCAGAGCGGCCGCUACAGAACAGUGACCGGCCACGUCCACCCAAACAGCCUCAGUGGUGGUCUUGAGCCUUGAAGUUAGUCAUGGAUCCCGGGCUGCAGGAGGCGGAGAGAAGCCACAUGAGAACCUGGAGCGGAUGAAAUCCAGGGGAGCCAGCAUGGAGCAGCCGCAGAACAAUGACCCCAAGUCUUGAGGCCACUAACAGGGCUGCGUCCAGCAGAACAGGCAGUUUUGGCGAUAUGUGACUUCAGUGCUCUCUGCAGGGGCCCCAGACCCUCUAUCACUCCAAGCUUAGCCUGCCCCCUGCCCCUCAAAACCCUUAAGUUCUGGGCACCAUCACUUCUGCUCCACUCUUCGAGGCUCCACGAGGCUCCUGGUAGUUGAGUGAUGGGAAGAGAAACUCCAGGGGGACAAAGCGACUUCCGAAGCUAACUUUAUUACCCGUGUUGGCUGGUGAGGAGUUUGUGGCUGCAAAAAACAAGUUGUCCAUGAGCAGAGAUGCUGUUCCGGCCUUCAGUUGCUGGUCAUGGCCCUGACUCUCUUCCCAAAAGUGAAUUUAACACUGUAACAAUAAAU
rnacentral:lncRNA from 1 species